AAAUUGAAGAGUUUGAUCAUGGCUCAGAUUGAACGCUGGCGGCAGGCCUAACACAUGCAAGUCGAACGGUAACAGGAAGAAGCUUGCUUCUUUGCUGACGAGUGGCGGACGGGUGAGUAAUGUCUGGGAAACUGCCUGA
rnacentral:rRNA from 2 species